rnacentral:rRNA from 1 species
GAGUUUGAUCCUGGCUCAGGAUGAACGCUAGCGGCAGGCUUAAUACAUGCAAGUCGAGAGGCAGCAUGACUGUAGCAAUACAGUUGAUGGCGACCGGCAAACGGGUGCGGAACACGUACAGAACCUUCCUUCGAGCGGGGAAUAGCCCAGAGAAAUUUGGAUUAAUACCCCAUAGUAUAACGGAGUGGCAUCACUUUGUUAUUAAAGAUUUAUCACUUGAAGAUGGCUGUGCGGCUGAUUAGGUAGUUGGCGGGGUAACGGCCCACCAAGCCUACGAUCAGUAACUGGUGUGAGAGCACGACCAGUCACACGGGCACUGAGACACGGGCCCGACUCCUACGGGAGGCAGCAGUAAGGAAUAUUGGUCAAUGGACGAAAGUCUAGAACCAGCCAUGCCGCGUGGAGGAUGAAGGCCUCUGGGUUGUAAACUUCUUUAUAUGGGACGAAAAAAGGCUUUACUAGGUCACCUGACGGUACCAUAUGAAUAAGCA